rnacentral:rRNA from 1 species
GUCUAUGGCCAUGCCACCCUGAAUGUUCCCGAUCCCAUCUGAUCUCAGAAGUUAAGCAGGGUCGGGCCUGGUUAGUACUUGGAUGGGAGACCACCUAGGAAGACCAGGUGCUGUAGUUG